rnacentral:rRNA from 1 species
CCUACGGGUGGCAGCAGUCGAGAAUCAUUCACAAUGGGGGAAACCCUGAUGGUGCGACGCCGCGUGGGGGAAUGAAGGUCUUCGGAUUGUAAACCCCUGUCAUGUGGGAGCAAAUUAAAAAGAUAGUACCACAAGAGGAAGAGACGGCUAACUCUGUGCCAGCAGCCGCGGUAAUACAGAGGGCUCAAGCGUUGUUCGGAAUCACUGGGCGUAAAGGGUGCGUAGGCUGUUUCGUAAGUCGUGUGUGAAAGGCGCGGGCUCAACCCGCGGACGGCACAUGAUACUGGGAGACUAGAGUAAUGGAGGGGGAACCGGAAUUCUAGGUGUAGCAGUGAAAUGCGUAGAUAUCGAGAGGAACACUCGUGGCGAAGGCGGGUUCCUGGACAUUAACUGACGCUGAGGCACGAAGGCCAGGGGAGCGAAAGGGAUUAGAUACCCUUGUAGUC